ACUGCUGCUGUGCAGAAAGGGGCUCUCAGUUUCUAAGUGAGGAGUUUCUAUAAUAUUCAGCUGCAAACUAGCCCCAUUAGAUUUGGUGUAUCCUAGGGAGCAAGGACCGUUGCCAACAUGUUUUCUGCCACUCAUUCUGUUCUUGUGAUCUUCUUAAUAUUCAGAGGGACCAAUGGAGACUCAGUGAACCAGACAGAAGGCCCAGUGACUGUCUCAGAGGGGGCGCCUAGGACCCUGCCCUGCACUUACCAGACCUCUGGUUCAAAUAUCUAUCUUUUCUGGUACGUCCAGUAUCUCAACAAAGCUCCGCAACUCCUCCUGAAGGGCUCGAAGGCAAACCGGAGGGCAGAGCAUCAAGGUUUUCAGGCCACUCUUGUUACGAGUGACAGCUCCUUCCACCUGCAGAAACCCUCAAUGCAAGCAUCAGACUCGGCUGUGUAUUACUGUGCUCUGAGUGACACGGUGAGAGGGGCUGCAGGGGGAGCUGAACACAAACCCAAGGGGAGCAGGAGGGCUGAAGUGAGCAGCCUUGGGAGGAAGAGGUAUAUUCUCUCCUUGGGCAGUGUUUAGUUUAUUUAGAGCUUUUCAGGAAAAUAAAUCAAGCUCAGAUCUAAUU